rnacentral:rRNA from 1 species
UGGCUCAGGAUGAACGCUAGCGGGAGGCUUAACACAUGCAAGUCGCGGGGCAGCAUGAUGUAGCAAUACAUUGAUGGCGACCGGCGCACGGGUGAGUAACGCGUAUGCAACCUGCCCAGUACAGGGGGAUAGCCCGGAGAAAUUCGGAUUAAUACCCCAUAAUGAUAAGAGAUGGCAUCAUUUUUUAUUUAAAGUUACGGCGGUACUGGAUGGGCAUGCGUGACAUUAGCUAGUUGGUAGGGUAACGGCCUACCAAGGCAUCGAUGUCUAGGGGGUCCUGAGAGGGUGAUCCCCCACACUGGUACUGAGACACGGACCAGACUCCUACGGGAGGCAGCAGUGAGGAAUAUUGGUCAAUGGGCGCAAGCCUGAACCAGCCAUCCCGCGUGAAGGAAGAAUGCGCUAUGCGUUGUAAACUUCUUUUCCAGGGGAAUAAAAUUUCGUACGAGUACGGGACUGAAGGUACCUUGGGAAUAAGCAUCGGCUAACUCCGUG